CACACACACACCCACACACACACACACACACACACACACACACACACACACACACACACACUCACAAUGACCUUGAAAGGAAGACAAAAGUCUUUGAGAUGGCAAGGAAGAUGCCCUGCUUGUUUGCUUUUGUGACUUGUUUCUAUUUGUCUUCUCACUGACUCUGCUAAGAAGAGGACCCAGAACAUAAUGGCACUGGGCCUCUUAUGUUCCAACUAUGUCUUUUACUUUCAUUUAAUGGAAUGAAUUAGAGGGGUAAGAAGGAUGGAGAAGGAGAAAGAGGGUGGCAGAGGGAAAAUAAGAGCUAGAAUAUAAGAUAUAUCCCUCAGAUUCUGGCCGGGUCUGUCUUGGGGAAGCAUGGUGGUAGCGUCUGUGUUGUUCUGUUGGAAAUCUUCCUUCGAUCAGUGUUGUUUCGGAGCCUGGAGCUAGCACAGCUAGAGCAUUAACUUUGUUUCCCAGGGUCGCAUCUCUUCAGGACUCCUGGUAUAAUUCUCUUGUCAGAGCAAGGUUUUAACACGUGGUCCUUGCUCAUUGGCUGAUCUCUGUGACGUCACUGUGGAGGGGCAGGGACUAUAACUAACUCUCAAAUCACUAAGUAGGAACUUACAAACCCUCUAAACGGCCAGGUCCAGUUUGGGAAACUCUAUUUCCCAAAAUUCAAAAAGGCAGAAGAGACAAAUGGCUCUCUGUGGUACCUACAGCAUACCAAAGCACACACUGGCCUCCAGGCUCCCUCAGCAUUACAAGUACCUCUUACGAAUUGCAAAGUCUAGGAUUCUAUCCCUUCUCAUCUCCUUCUCUACCCUUAAGUCCCUCCAGCUUGUGGGCUCCCCUUCUCCCAGCCAUUCCCUUUCCUUAUAACCCUGCUAAUUCAUGAUAUUGCUGUUCUCCUCCAGUUGUCCCUCUUGUCCUCUCUUCCUCUUUCUUUCUCUUUCUUCCCCCCACCCCCUGCCCACCUCUCUCUUUGCUCUAUUCCUGCUUCUCUCAUGGCCAGGUUCAACCUACUUUGUUUUCUCUCUUCUAGAUGCUUUCAGCUGUCUUUUCCCUCUCUCUCUUAUAUCUACAAUAAAGACCUUCCCCUUUGCCAUAGCAUGAAUACUCAUGCCUUCUGUUUAUACAUGAAUCCUUUGAGAUUCUCUGUAGGACCCUAACUGCUGUUAUCAAACAGUGGGAGAAAGAGUCUAGGCAGGAACUGGGUAAGAAUCCGGGGCAAGAAUAGAAAGAGAGUGUCUCUCCACUCAUUUCUUGCUAAGCUUGUUCCCCUUGAGGUCAUGUAAUGGAUCAUACCUUAAACUCCAUAGAACAACUGUUGGUAUUCGGUCUAAGCCCCGCCCCCACAAUUGCCUGGCAAUGGCCAGCUGUGCCUGACACUAUAAAAGGGGCUGCUUGCCUCCUCCUCUCUCUCUUAUCCCCUCUCUCCUUUACUCCCUUUUACCCUCUCUUUCCCCUCUUGCUCUUUGAUCUUCUCUGUUCUUGCCCCCAUACCCCCCUCCACAUGCCCAUGGCCGGCCACCUUUCCUCUCUUGUUCUACUCUUCUCUCAUUAAACCUUCCACAUGGAACCAUGGCAUUUGAGUGUCUUCUGUCCCGGCAUGGGCCAAGAUUGAAAUUCCUAACACUAGGUGCUUAGAGACACUGAGACUGAGGUGGGUCAGGACAAUGGAAUUGCUUUUGUAUUAACACAGGGCAGUUUGCGGAAUUUCCACCAUAUAAAUUGCAUUCACCCUAGGUAUCACCUAGCAGAAACUGUUUUAAAUGAAGUUAUGGCCACAGGUUGCUUGGCUAUGCUCUGGGAUAUUAAGCACUUGUAUUGUCUGCUUUCCAUUGUGCUGUGUGCUGGAGAUUCUGUUGUCUGAGCAACAGAAACGCCUGUAACAAAGUUUGGAUUGAGCUCUUGCUCUCCACACAAUGGAAACUUUCAGCCUUCUAAUUUACAAUGUAAACCAUUUGAUCAGUUUUCCCAGUGUGAUUUCACUACUUCUAAUAAUCAGAGAUCUUACUGCAGUACCUUGUCCUUAUAUCCAUUGAGUGAUGAUUGGGAGCCGCAGACAAGAUAUUCAAUGAGCUAUGCUUUGUCUCACGGCCAUAUUUUCUGUUCCAGGCUGUCCAUUUGCCCUCAUAAAGCUGACUGUGUGAUUCCUGGCUUCACUUCACUCCAUCUAUGCUUUUUUCUUGUUUUGUCAUCCAAGAUAGCUACUUGCUUCCAUUUCUGAGGUAAAUAAAGCUUAUUGGACUGGACUGGCAACGUGUUUCUCACCAGUGCCUUGAUUCUGCUGCUUGUGCUGAAUGGCUCUGCUUUAUUCAAACCUGUAUCUUCAUCUCUCUGCCCCAUAACAAUCGAGCCUUUUGAGUUUUAUGUGUAUGGACAUCUGAGAUUCUAAUUAUUUUGCUUCUCUUGUUGACUGUCUUUGGAUUCUGAUAUACUCAACUUUUUCAAAUAGGAGACUUGAUUUUAGCUCUUGCUUUCUCAAGUUGUGUCAGAGAAUUAAU